rnacentral:rRNA from 1 species
GAAGGGUGCAAGCGUUACUCGGAAUUACUGGGCGUAAAGCGUGCGUAGGCGGUUUGUUAAGUCUGAUGUGAAAGCCCUGGGCUCAACCUGGGGAUGGCAUUGGAUACUGGCAAUCUAGAAUGUGGUAGAGGGUGGCGGAAUUCCCGGUGUAGCAGUGAAAUGCGUAGAUAUCGGGAGGAACAUCCGUGGCGAAGGCGGCCACCUGGACCAACAUUGACGCUGAGGCACGAAAGCGUGGGGAGCAAACAGGAUUAGAUACCCUGGUAGUCCACGCCCUAAACGAUGCGAACUGGAUGUUGGGUUCAAUUGAGAACUCAGUAUCGAAGCUAACGCGUUAAGUUCGCCGCCUGGGAAGUACGGUCGCAAGACUG